rnacentral:rRNA from 1 species
AUUCCAGCUCCAAUAGCGUAUAUUUAAGUUGUUGCAGUUAAAAAGCUCGUAGUUGGAUUUCGGGUGGGACGCAGCGGUCUCGCAUUGCGUUUGUACUGCUGCAGCCCUCCUUCUUGCCGGGGGCGGCCCUUCGGACUUCACUGUCUGGGGGUCAGAAUCGGCGAUGUUACUUUGAGUAAAUUAGAGUGUUCAAAGCAGGCUUACGCUCUGAAUAUAAUAGCAUGGGAUAACACGACAGGACUCUGGCCUAUCGUGUUGGUCUAUAGGACCAGAGUAAUGAUUAAGAGGGACAGUCGGGGGCAUUCGUAUUCCGUUGUCAGAGGUGAAAUUCUUGGAUUUACGGAAGACGAACAUCUGCGAAAGCAUUUGCCAAGGAUGUUUUCAUCA